ACUCAAAUGAAUUGACGGGGACCCGCACAAGCGGUGGAGCAUGUGGUUUAAUUCGACGCAACGCGAAGAACCUUACCUGGGUUAAAUCAAGGAUGCAAGGCGCAGAGAUGCGUCCCCCUCGCAAGAGGCGUUCUUGAAGGUGCUGCAUGGCUGUCGUCAGCUCGUGUCGUGAGAUGUUGGGUUAAGUCCCGCAACGAGCGCAACCCUUACCACUAGUUGCCAGCAUUUACGGUGGGCACUCUAGCGGAACUGCCGGUGAUAAACCGGAGGAAGGUGGGGAUGACGUCAAGUCAUCAUGGCCUUUAUGUCCAGGGCUACACACGUGCUACAAUGGCCGGUACAAACCGCAGCAAACUCGCAAGAGGGAGCCAAUCGGAAAAAGCCGGUCUCAGUUCGGAUUGUAGUCUGCAACUCGACUGCAUGAAGUUGGAAUCGCUAGUAAUCGCGGAUCAGCACGCCGCGGUGAAUACGUUCCCGGGUCUUGUACACACCGCCCGU
rnacentral:rRNA from 1 species